UUUUCCUGAGGGGACCGAUUGGCGCGAACUCGGAGUAUUGUGCGGGGUUUUGGUAGUGAUAGCACUUCUAGCCUUGGUUUACCCCAUACCGCCCAAUACAUGAUGUCUCCCUGAAGUAUAUAGGUGGCACUUUCUGACUGGGAAAGAAAGCUGCCCCCAGUCCCUACCCCCUACCCCUGAUCUGGAAGCCUCCACUGGCACAGCACAUGGAUCCUGGACUGCUACAUGGAGACUGAGAUCAGCACAUCUCAGAUUCUAAAAGAGAGAGCUGCUGCAAGAGGAUGGCAACUGUGAAACCUGACAGACCUAGGUAGGCCUAGGACAAAUGGAAUCACCAAGCGGGAAACUGCCUGCCAACCCCCCAGGACAAACAGAUGCUCGGCUAAGAUUGGGGUCCGGGGUUGGCCUGUCGGCACAACAGGAUGCAGCUUUAACUUGAGCCUGACAAGAUGUAUCAAGAACAAUGGUCAGCAAAAAUGGAACCCAGCAACCAGCUCUAGCCAAUCAGACUCUGACACCCCAACCAGUUGCCCUUCAUGGGUUUUUGUGCUUAAAAACCCUACCCUAAAAACAACUGAGUGAGUCUUAACCUCCCUAGGUUGGCUGCACUUUCUCCACUUUCCCUCACGUCCCAGCCUCCCUAGGUUGGCUCCACUGUCCCUCUUAUUCCCCGCUAAUAAGCCCUGCUCCUUAGCUCACUGAGUCCACCUGGUUUCUUGAGCAACUCCAACCUCACAAAACCUGCAAGUGCACAUGCCAGAGAGAUUGGAGAUCUGUUUGUGUGACCACCUUAAGAGCAGUUUUCAGCUGUGGUGCACUGAACCUGAUUCUUCAAGAUCUGCUAGACCAAUGAUAAGGUCAAGUUUUCAUGUGUCUAAGAAGAAAAAUGUUAUUCAGCUGGGGUCAGCAAGUACCUAACUUUUUCUAGAUAGUAAAAACUCAACUGUAACAUAAAUGUUUAAAACCACUGUUUAGUUCAGCUUUGAUGGGGACAGAACAAAUCAUUCUCCACCAGGGUGUUUGAAAUCACAUGACAAGGGAUAAAAGCAAAUCAGCAUAAUUGAAAGAUUUUUUUUGCCCCACAUUUAACCAAAGAACAAGGGAAAAACAGAGUAUUUCUAAUGUGUUUAGUAAACCACAGAAUGUUAUGUUAUCCACCUGUGAAAUGUCUGGUAAACAAUUGCAUCUAUAUUUUAUUAUGUUGACCUGGUACUAAUAAAUAUGUGAAUGCAUAUUCAGGUCUCCUUGUACUUCAGUAAUUUUCAUCAUUUUCAAACUCCAAAACUGCCUUCCCAUCAGAGGGCUGUUUCUUGUAUUAAAAACAAGAACAACAAUUACAAUUAAAUCAAGAAAUGGAGAA